CCUGUCCCUAGGGCAUUGCAGGUGUGGCUGCUGUGUCACAUGUGCAUCAGUAGGUGGCAGAGAAGAGAGAGGCUGUGUCUACACCCCGUGUUCUGACCUGCAAGCAUCUGAAUGAUUAGUGGUCCAAUAUU